rnacentral:rRNA from 1 species
ACGGAAGGCAGCAGUGGGGAAUAUUGCACAAUGGGGGAAACCCUGAUGUAGCAACGCCGCGUGAGUGAAGAAGUAUUUCGGUAUGUAAAGCUCUAUCAGCAGGGAAGAAAAUGACGGUACCUGACUAAGAAGCCCCGGCUAACUACGUGCCAGCAGCCGCGGUAAUACGUAGGGGGCAAGCGUUAUCCGGAUUUACUAGGUGUAAAGGGAGCGUAGACGGCGAAGCAAGUCUGAAGUGAAAGCCCACGGCUCAACCGUGGAACUGCUUUGGAAACUGUUUUGCUAGAGUGCAGGAGGGGCAGGCGGAAUUCCUAGUGUAGCGGUGAAAUGCGUAGAUAUCAGGAGGAACACCGGUGGCGAAGGCGGCCUGCUGGACUGUAACUGACACUGAGGCUCGAAAGCGUGGGGAGCAAACAGGAUUAGAUACCCUAGUA